rnacentral:rRNA from 1 species
ACACCCGAUCCCAUUCCGAACUCGGAAGUUAAGCCCAUCAGGGCCGAUGGUACUUAGAUCGCAGGAUCUUGGAAGAGUAGGUUGCUGCCGGAC